AAUUAAUUUUUGUAGAGCAGCCCUAAGAGGUAGACAUUAUUUUUUAGGUAGACAUUAUUUACAGAUAAAGUGAUGGAAAAUCAAAAUGACUUCUGGCAUAGCGCAUGCUUCUCAACGCCCUGCCGAAUAGUGUAUUAUAGAAACAGGCUAUUCCGUUUUCACGAUUCUUUAAAGAUUCCAACCACACCUAUAGAAAUCCGAUGGCUCUCUGCCUUAUUCUCUUCUUCUUCUCCCCCCCCCCCCGCCCCCCUUUGGAGACAGGGUUUCUCUGUGCAGCCCUGGCUGGCCUCGAACUCAGAAAUCCGCCUGCCUCUGCCUCCCAACUUAUUCUCUUAAGAGAGUAUCUCCCACUUGGUAGUGGUGGCAGACUCCUUUAACCCCAGCACUGGGGGGGGGGGGGGGGGGGGGAAGAGUAGAAGCAGGCAGAUCUCCGAGUUCGAGGCUAACUUGGUUUACAAAGCCAGUUCCAGGACAGCCAGGGCUGCACAGAGAAACCGUGUCUCAAAAACAAAAGAUGAAAAAGCCACCAGGUACGGUUACGGUAGGUAGCACACACCAGUAAUCUGAACACUGUGGAGAGAGGCAAGGGGGUCUCUGUGGUCAAAGACAGGAUCUGGACUUGUCUCACUGAACCUGGAGUGCACCAUUUUUAAAAACUUAUUUGUGCCCGGCAUGGUGGCGCACAUGCCUUUAAUCCCAGCACUCGGGAGGCAGAGGUGUGUGCCACCACGGCCUGGCUCUGCCUCAGCUUCUUUAGUGCUGGGUGGAGGGAAGCUGGAGACAGGUGGAUCCUGAAGCCUGCUGGUCAGCCGAGCUAGACUGCCAACUCCAGCAAGUGUGUUGUCAGUCCCAGAUCUCUACUCUCUUGAAUUUUGUCUGGUUAGGAAUCUCUCCACAGCAAACUGACACUCAAGCUUACAGGUGACUUUUUCACUUUGUUAAUUCAAAUGAAGCCUCUAGGCUCUGUCUUAUAAGACUAUUGUGUAAUAUCUAACACAUUGAAUCUCUUCCCUGUCCAGAGAGAUGCCCCCAGACUGGCCUCAAAGUCAUGGUAAUCCUUCUGCCUCAGCUUCCAACUGCUGGAAUUAUAAGCAGGAGCUACCCUGUCCAGCAACUUGUGUGUAUGUGUGGGCACACUCACAGGUGAGCUUGCCUUUGCUUGUCACUAUGGAGACCAGAUGUCAUUAGAUUUCUAGUGUCCUCUGUUUCUGGAGCUUGCGGUCUAGCUGGUUAACCAGCAAGCUUCCAGGACCCAACUGUCACCAGCACUUAACCCACUGAGCCUUCUUUCCUAAAAAUAUUUUCUAGCUCUCUAUAUUCUUUAUUUCCCAUUUUUCUCAGUUGCUCUUUCUUGGUGUCAUUUGAGUUUCUUGUUCAUCUUCUCCCACCCUCAAGUUCUGAACUCUUGACUACUUUCUACCGUCUCUCUUGGUUAUCUUAAUGUUCUAUCUCAUUCAUAAACUGAUGACUCCCAAGUAGGUGCCAUCCUUGCUUAGAUGGCAUCCUACCGCAGUCUGUUCAGUCGACCUCGCCAUGAAAUGUCUACAUGAAACUUGAGAUUUAAUAUUAAGGCUAUUUCCCUGUUCCUCCUCCUGUUACCAUAAACAGUAACUCUAUCCUUCCAGUUGGUCAGUUCAAUCAUGGAGUCAUCCUUGACUUGCCUUCUACCUUAGAGUAAAUCCCACUGACUCUACUGCCAAGAUACAGUACAACUCUCAUUACUUUCAACACCUGUGAGCUCUCUGGAGCCGCCCUUCUCUCUUAAGUUGUUGAGAGCCUUCACCUGUGAAGCUAUUCCAUAUAGCACCCAAAGGAACAUUUCAUAACCUAAAUUGGGUGAGAAUUCUGUUACUGGAAACCUCCCAGUGCCCCCUACAGUUCAUCUGCUUUUAAUUUAAAAGAAUUUUGCUUAUGAAUGUUUUGCCUGAACCAUGGACAUGCCUGGUGACCACAGAGGUCAGAAGAGGGCACCCCGUCUGGGAUGUUAACUACGAGUUAUAGGUAGUGUAAGCCCAUGUGAGUGCUGGGAACUGAAGCCAGGUCUUCCGCACCUUUGCAAAAAGCCCCAAUGCUUUAAACCACUGAGCCAGCUCUCCAGAGGCCCUAGGCCUGAUUCCCAGCAUGACAGCUCACAUCCGGCUAACUCC
rnacentral:lncRNA from 1 species